AAUAGUGUGGCCGAGUGGUCUAUGGCGCUGGUUUUAGGCACCAGUCUCUUCGGAGGCAAGGGUUCGAAUCCCUUCACUGUCA
rnacentral:tRNA from 1 species